UAAAAUUUUCAGUCUGCCUGGUUUUUGGAAUCGGUUCCGUAAAAAAAUAGUAAAUUAAGCGAUUAAGUAGCAAAAUAAUUAAAUAUUGUGUUAAUAUUUCAUAACUAAUUUACUACUUCGUCAUUCUACAAAAUAUUUAACGUUUGAAUGCAAGUAUUUCCGGUUUUCUUAUGAGCAUCCUAAAUGUGCAUCAAGUAAUACUGACAACAGCCGGCAGUGGUCAACAGUUGCCAAGUGGACACCGGUGAAACAGUGCGAAUUGCGAAUAAAAAAAGUAAAUAAAAAAUGUGCAGGCUUCAAAUUGUACCUAUGUGAAUUAAAAAUGUGAAGUUUCAUUGUAUACCGCGUUUGAGAGACAUUCGUAAUCUAAGGAAUUCAUAAAAAAGGUGCGCGUCGCGAAUCAAAGUGCGUGAUCAUAAAGAAGCGAAAAGUUCACAAUCAAAUUGGAAUCUCAUUAGCAAGAACAAUGCUCCAACUGGGCAUAAGUAGAUCAGUGCCAUGUCGGAGUUGAAUUAAAAUUAGUUUUCAAGAAAUGCCCAAUUACUAGUAUGAAUAUACAAAGUUUGUAAUCUUGGUAGCCGUAGGAUUUCUCCCUCAUGCAAGCGGGUCGCGGACUGAACAUAUGUACCAACAAAGUGUUAUGCGAAUUUUGUGAAGUGUAUAUAGCCGACUUCAAUAACGCGUUUAGAUGUCACGGUAGGACGAAUAAAAAGUGUUGCGGAGUAAAACAAGAACGGCUGCUUUCACAAGUGGACUGCUCGGGGCAUAUUAAAAAUAAUAACUGAAAGAGACUCCCGAUGGCCACACAAGACGAAUUGACCCAUUAUGAGAAUUACAAAGAUGUCUACAAUUGCCAUGCUUACAAAAGAAUGUGUGAUUGUGUGUUGGCUUUAAUUUACUGAUUUAAUAUCCCCAAGGAGUUAUGCAUGAUUGUGUGUGUGUGUAUGGGUGUUUGUAUAUGAAAAUAAUGAGCAUUAAAUACACUCAUACUUAAACAUAUGAUUACAAGCCUCAUAUUCGGUGAGUGAGUGUGUCAUUUGUAAUUCUCCAGUUACUGAUUUUCUUUUAAUAUCGUUGUUGUUAUUGUUGUUGUUGUUUACAUACAUUAUUAUCCAUAUAAAAUGCAAAACUCAAAUAAUUUAUCACAACAGACAA